rnacentral:precursor_RNA from 1 species
AAUAUAGUUUCUAAAUUGUUAGCCUCGAUUUUACUUAGACGCCUAACUAGAGCUCGUGAAGAGCAGACUAGAGAAAACCAGGCUGGAUUCAGACCUGGA